GGCUCCGCGGCCGUUAGAGCUGAGGGGCGGCUCGGAGGGGCGGCCCGAGCUCCGGGGGACGGCCCGGUCAGGGCUCUCCGGCAGCGGCUGAGACGCAGGCGGUGCUCCGAGGAGCCUUCCCCGUGGGCUGGAGCAGCAGCCGCGUUGGGAGGAAGAAAGGAGGGCAGGCGGGCGGGGCAGGGGCUGCUCACGCCCCUCACACAGGGAGAGUCCCCAGGCCGCGGACAGAGUGUGCCGCCCGCAGGAAAUGCACGUGCUAAUUAGCAGCCCGGUUCUCUAGAGCAGACAGGGAUCCUUUGCCGGCAUUCCUACCCGGAGGAGAGCACAGGACACGGGUGUCACACAGUGUUACGGAUCACAGGUGCUGCUCCAGUGGUCACAGCCCAAUAGAAAAGUUCCUUUGCUGUGGAUGGCUUGACCUUGCUCUGCAGAGGAAUGCCAUGGAGUCAGCUUCCUGAUUUUUCACACCUGAACAGGUAAGGGGUGUUUCUCUAACCAGAACUGAAAUCCUUCUUCUUUAACUAAAUUCAAAUAUGGAAGUGCUGGAGGUACCAAGAGUCCUCAUCUGACAUCCUUGGAACUGGGAGUCCCCUCCAGCACCCAGCAGCUGCCUUGCCCUGCUUUGCUGGGGGUGCAGGACCCUCAGAGGGGUUGUGGAAUAUCCUAAAACCUCCACUACAAGGUCCUCCUUCCUCUGGUGGCUCCUCCUUUUUCCACGACUCGCUGUGGAACAGCAGUUCAGCUCUUGGGCCUGAGAUCUUGUUUGAUUUAGUUCUGUGUUUCCAAAGCCAGUGUUGCUUGAGAGGCUUUUCAGGUGCUCUGUAACAGUCUCAAAGCAUUGAAGUC